AGCCUAGAAACGGAAACAGCUUUAGUGUCCACCCACCAAUGAAUGGAUAUGGAAAAAUGUGGUAUGUGUACGUAACGAAUGUUACUCAGCCAUAAAUAGAUGAAAACUUCAUCUGCAACAACGUGGAUGGAACUGGAAGGCAUCAUGUUAACAGAAAUAAUCCAAGAGCAGUAAGAUAAAUAUCAUGUUAUCUCACUCGUAUGUGAAGUUUAAAAAUCAGUGAUCUCAGAGGUAAAUAAUAUAAUAAUGCUGGUAAGAAGCCAGGAAGGGGUGUAGCAUCAUACCGGAGCAUUUUAUGUUGCUUGUAGACAUCACUGCAUCCAUCCCAAAGGAUGCUGUUUCCCGGCAGCCGGGACUGGCGAGUGGCUGUGUUCUAGUCAACGAGGCUUCGUUUAUGGAAGUUCAACAGAAGAGGCUGAAAAGAACUUCCUUGUGAUGGCAGAACUUCUUCCUUUUUCCUGCUUUAAUGAACGAGACGACAUGUGUGGACUCCAGAAACUGCGGCCCACUAAUGCCACGGACAUCACAACAGAAAUGCAGGCAGCAUCUGAGACCCUUCACGUGCAGCAGCUCGUCAGCCCUCGAACGCCUGUCUUUGGACCUCGUGUAUGGAUCCCUCCUAAUGAGCCUGGAAGGCAGCAGAAGAUGGUCCAAGUACUGAGGCCCCUGCCAUCCACGUGGGAAACCCAGAUGGAGCUCCAGGCUCUCGGCUUCAGCUUGGUGCAGAUUACAGGUUUGCGGGUGUUGUGUCCAUCAAGACUUGAAGGAGCAGCAAUGAUGAUAUCGUAAGCCUACUGUGUUGCUCCGGCAGCAAGGAUUGCACCUGCUCAGCCGGAUGUGCAGGAAGACAGGAGUGUGCCUGGUGAUGUCCGCAGCACCGUCCUAAUUUCACAUCCAAAUGAAGCAAUCACGGACCUGCUCAGGACAAAGCAGGGAGUGAGGCAGAGAUGAGGCUAAUGAGAGACUGGCAGGGAACAGGCUGGGAGGCUGGAUCAGGCUUGUUAAGCAUGGCUCACAUCCAUGAAAAAAGCAACCUUCCUGGAGUUCUAAAGCGAAAGCUAUCUUUGUAAGCUCUAGCUCUCAUCAGGAAGAACUACGUGAGCCAAGCGCUCAUAUAUCAUGUACAGAGAGGAGUUCAUUUUUUGUAGGCUAAAAUUUUAAUGAUGAGAUAUAAAUAGGACUUUGAAAUGCUUCAGCAAUCCUCUUGAAUUUUACCUGGAAUUUUCAGUUUUAUAAUGCCUAAUGCCUUCACUUUUAUUUUCUCCUCUCAAAUUGUUCCACUUAAUGUCAUUAUCCAAUGGAAAAGUAAAAAUUCUUAUGAAAAUAGGUAAAAUAUAGAGUAAUCCUAUUUGUAAUUUAUUAUAUUCCAAUUGAAAAUGUAAGUUUGUUACUUCUUUCAGUUUUCAUUUCAGUUUCCAUGUAUAAUUUAUGCUUUAACAUUCAGAUCUUAAAUUAAAAUCUAUGUUUCAUUAGUUGUAGCUAUCACAUUUAUUAUAGUUUUUUGUGUUUCUCAUAACAUGUAAUAUGGAAGUCUUUAUUUGUCGAAAUCUUUUUAAUUUCAUGCUCUAUUCUUCAAAUUUCUAUCUAAAGAAUGCAUAAAUCAAUAAGCAAAUAUGUAAUUGAAUUCUUUGAUAUGCCCAGCUCAUCAUCAUUUAUAAAUACCAGUACAGAGCCACCCCCAUUAAGAUGAAUGGGUUGGUAGAAUGCUCAUAAUUAGGGCAUUUGUGGUCUUCAAAAUUAAAAUCAGGUAGACUGUGUAUUGCUCUGUUUUUCUAGAUAUGAUUUAUUAUUUGAACUUUAAAUGUCCAUCAAUCCCAGUGAAUAUACAGUGGUGACUAAAACAACUUCUUGCUCAUCCUCUUGGUUUGUAUAAAAUAGUAAAUAUUCACAAAUCAUAUUUCAAUAAGUUUUUACAUUAAUCUUACAAAGAAAUGAGAUGGGUUCUAUGUUAAAUAUUAUCUAUCUGUCUCUAUGCAUACUAAAUCAUCUUUGUAAAAUAUAUUGGGAAAAUUCUCAUGAACAAAAUAUUUCAUGCAAUACUACCAACUGCUAUUCUACAAAAUUCCAGGAAAGUGUGAAAGUUAAGAGAUUUUAUACUUCAGGGAAAUUAUAAAUACUCUUGAUAGGGGCAAUUGUACUCUCUUAAAUGUGAUCCAAAAUUAUUUAAGUAUAUUUUAUAACUUGCAUGUUUGACAUAGGUAAGAUUUCAAAUAAAAAGCCUUGAUUAUCAUCUCUAAGAAACACUCAAUAAUUAACAAGAUUCUAUAUUCAGUUAACAGAUCAAGUGUUUGCUAUAUUCUUCAUAAAUUAUCCAUAAAUUUUAUGAAAAUAUAUCUAUAAUAUAUACACUCACACUUACAUAAAAAUAUUCUGGCGAAUAAUUUUAUAUGAUACAGAUAUUUUUAUCUCUUCCCUCUACCUUGGUUCUCACACCUUUUGUACAUUAUUUGUUUCCUUUUGGGUCUCCCAUUGAUAGAUCAUUUUGGGACCUUCCUACAUGAAGUAGUUAGGGGAACAGUGUAUUCUAUCUGUUUCUACAAGUGCAUCUCUGAUUCCUAUUGCCAGCUGAGGGAUGGUUUCUGCAGGAGAAACAGACUAGUAAUGCCAAAAUAUCACUUCUAAUCCUAAUUAGCAGUUUUUGUCGAAAUAGGCAACCCAAGUUUGCAGCUCAGUUUUCUAAAUGUUCAAAGUGAAUUUUAUAACAAAAUCACCUCUUCCCUGCAGUUACAGUGAAUAUUGAAUUAAUAUAUUAGAUAUAAUUCUUUGAAAGUUACCCCCAAAAUCAAUCAUUUGUAUAAGCAUUAGCUGUCCCUAUAUAAUGUAUAUUAGCAGUUUUUAAAAAAUAUAUUCCAUCCAAGAAUAUUUUAGACACCAUCUAUUCUAAUAUCUUUCUAGUGGAACAUUUCUAAGAGGAGAGCAUGAUCGAUGACCAUGCUGUAUUUUCCCUCCAUUGAAUGAAUCUGUCAGAGUUCUGACAGCCUCUUGAGGAAGUAGCACUGAAUCUUCACUAUUUACUGAUACACACGGAUCUACGAGCAAGUUGCAUUAUGAGCCAAAAAUAUAUCCGAGCCAACUAUGAAUGUGAAAUACGCUGUUAACAGGUGUAACUAAACUUUGUCUUCUAAAACUGUUCUAUUCGCCCACUGGAAGUUUCCAUCAUUUUACAAAUAGCUCACAGUGCUUUUCUAAACUUCGGGAUUAGCAAACGUUUCUAUUGAGUGUGAAUAGUUAUAGAGACUACUCUGAGAAAUAAAGUGAUGCUCUGAGGAGGACGGCAGUGGAUGGAGACGUGGUGCACAAGCAGGCCGUGAACGCUUGCCUGCACAGACCACACACUACCCAUCAGGAACCGAAGAGAACGCGGCGGGAAAGCUCCCGAGACUCCAGCGGCACGUUAUGCUGAGCUGGGCGCUCCUGGUGCUGCUCUGUCUCCUGCUACCCCUUUCCAACCUCAUUUUCCAAUCCAGCCGCAUCUGCUGCAUUGACGCAUGUGGUUCUUGACUGACCUGUUUGCACUGUGCUUCCUGGCAGCUCUCCCCCGCACGCCACCCAUUUGCCCGGCUGAGCUCUGCGACGCAGCUGCCUGGUGCUAACGUCCUGAUUUCAGAAUCCAGUCUCACCACUCUGCAGGAAUCUUGGGUGGCUUUGUGCGCCCUCUCUCCACCUGCCCUGCCAUCUCCUAGCAGGGCAAUGGCCUACUGUGGCGCCUUCCAUCACCACCUCCGUACCACCUGGCUCCUUUGCGGCACCCCAGAAGCUGUACUGCCUGUUUGUUCUGGGACGUACUGCAACCACUUAGCUGCUUGACACCUUAAGCAGGCCUAGAGGUGAGGCAGAAACAAAUGGAGAGCGUAGAAGCAAACACCAAGGCGAAUUUAUGGAAUUAAGAUCCGCCCUGGAGGGCUGAGCCAUCCGUCUCACUCCGGGUAAAAGUCAGUUGGUCGCUAGUCCUGGCCUUCUCUGACCUGGUCUAUUUCUAGCUUUAUGCGGCUGCGGAAAUCACAGACGUUUGCAGGUGUUUUGAGACAGGAAGGAGAACACAGCCCGAUUUCAUUUAUUCAACCUCAUCUAUCCCUGAUCUUGUAUGUGUCAUUUAUUUUCACCACUUGCUUGUUGGCUUGGUACUAAAAGUCCAGAUAAAUUCAGCUAGGUCUGAGAGAGAAGUCCUUCUCACAAACCCUCACUCUGCACUAGCCUUGAGGCACUGACUUAAUGCAAGUACUUCAACUCCGAGAAAGUUCAAGUGCUCAGAAAUCCCUUAGAAAGCUGGUGUUACUAUACAUAAACGCCACGUUUAAUUCACUUAGUCUAUAAAGUUUAGAUAACUAUUUAACUUUUUUCACUACAGCCUAAGGGGAGAGGCAUUUUUUAAUAAGCAAGACUUCUCAGAGAAUUUCUAAUUUUCUGAGCUUAUCUACCUAAUAAAAAGCAAUACCAGACCAACACCCUAGUGAUUAGUGAUCUAAUGAAGCUGUGUUUGGAAAUCAUCUCACUCACUAUCUAUCACACUCAUGGACAUUCUUUAUUCCUGUUGAGGGAAAUCUCUCUUUGUGGUCUUUAGCGUAAUGAUGGUGUUUUUGGCAGGUGAAACUGAAUUUCUGAAUGCAAUGCUGCAUCUAAUUCAACUUUGUAUGUCCUGGCAAGAGAACAGGCUUGUCUGAGGCAUCGGAUACAUGUUUGUUGAAUGAGAAAAUAAAUAAAUGAGGUAACAAUGAGACACACAAUAUAUUGGUAUCAUCUACAACAGAGAAUACAAUUUUUUAGUUAAAAGACUAAAGAGAAGAAAAUAUACUAUUGAGUAAAGUAGACAGAUUGUUUGCCAUUUUAGUGACCAUUUUUGAGAUAGAGAAAAUACUUAAUAUGUUUGGUUUCUAAACAUGGUUAUUUUGACUGUAAUUAGAAUGGCUAUCAGAAUAUCUAAAAUAAGCUGUAAUCUGAUGUUCUUUAUGGCCUGCCUUUGUACCCCUUCAUUUAUUCUAUUCAUUUGUUGAUACACAUUUUAUCUGUACUUCCUUAGGAAUAUAAAAUUCUGAAAAGAAUUGAGAGCCAUAAUUUAAAAGUUUGUUUUCUCUUUAACAUGCUAUUCUAAAUAAUUAAUAAACUUCCCUGAAACAUCACCUAAACUGGCCUUUGGCAAAUAUGUAAGAUUAAUAAUCAGUAGAUGAUUUCUCUAUUCAGAGAAUUUAAUAGUUUUAACAAUAUUACAAUGUGGAUAUAAUGAGAACACAACACUAAUAGCAUGUUCUCUCCACCAAAUCUAUCUAUGAAAUCAUUAUGUUAUGAUUAAUCAUCUGGGAUACUAGUUUAGCUUCUCUUGUUUAGAUAGCUAAAAUAUGUAGUUAAUUCACUAUUUCUUGUUCUACACCUAAAUAUCUAUAUUUAGAUAUCACACACUAAAUGAUUUAUUAAAUAUCUUGAAUUUUGUUUCAAACAUCCAUGAAGAUAUUCAAUAUUAUUACAUGUGUUCUUAAGAAUAUGUAUCUAAAGUAUUAGUUAGAAAAUUUGACAUAAACAUGAAAAUUAUAUUGGGGAAAUCGUGGUGUGCAUUUUAGGGAUGAACAAUGGCAUUUUUCUUAUCUGAAGAGUUCAUCUAUGCUUAUUUUUCUGAGCUAUUUUUCCAUUUGUGGGGUCGUUGCUCCAUGUCAUUCCUCUCUAUUUUUUGUGCAUCAAGCCAUAUUGGAACUGACAUAUUGGAUCUGGCAUACACACAGUUCUGAAAACUGCUAUUUUUAAUCCUGACAUCAUCAGAAAGGAUUUCCUCUGGCACUCCACCCCUGUACUGUUGCAAAUUGGUUGAUUUGGGGAAACGCACCUCACAGGGUCUAUUUGAAACUGAAGGAACAUUCAAAGAAAUUCAAACUAUUUUUCCCCUCUGAACUUAAGCUUACCUCUC